CACGUAGGGCGCAAGCGUUGUCCGGAAUUAUUGGGCGUAAAGAGCUCGUAGGUGGUUUGUUACGUCUGCUGUGAAAACCUAGGGCUUAACCCUGGGCUUGCAGUGGAUACGGGCAGACUAGAGGUAGGUAGGGGAGAAUGGAAUUCCUGGUGUAGCGGUGAAAUGCGCAGAUAUCAGGAGGAACACCGGUGGCGAAGGCGGUUCUCUGGGCCUUACCUGACACUGAGGAGCGAAAGCGUGGGGAGCGAAC
rnacentral:rRNA from 1 species